rfam:Burkholderiales bacterium RIFOXYD12_FTLL_59_19 rifoxyd3_full_scaffold_145, whole genome shotgun sequence.
CGCAUUCGCUAGGGGUGUUGUGCUGCCGGGUUUGCUGGCAGGACGACUGAGAAAGUCCCUUUGAACCUGAUUGAGGUAAUCCUCGCGCAGGGAAGCAGGUUAAAAACCGG